CCCAGACUCCUACGGGAGGCAGCAGUGGGGAAUAUUGGGCAAUGGGCGCAAGCCUGACCCAGCAACGCCGCGUGAAGGAAGAAGGCUUUCGGGUUGUAAACUUCUUUUAAGAGGGAAGAGCAGAAGACGGUACCUCUUGAAUAAGCCACGGCUAACUCCGUGCCAGCAGCCGCGGUAAUACGGAGGAUGCGAGCGUUAUCCGGAUUUAUUGGGUUUAAAGGGUGCGUAGGCGGUCCGUUAAGUCAGCGGUAAAAUUGCGGGGCUCAACCCCGUCGAGCCGUUGAAACUGGCAGACUUGAGUUGGCGAGAAGUACGCGGAAUGCGCGGUGUAGCGGUGAAAUGCAUAGAUAUCACGCAGAACUCCGAUUGCGAAGGCAGCAUACCGGCGCCCAACUGACGCUGAAGCACGAAAGCGUGGGUAUCGAACAGGAUUAGAUACCCCCGUAAU
rnacentral:rRNA from 1 species